rnacentral:rRNA from 1 species
UACAUGGGGUGCAAACGUUGCUCGGAAUCAUUGGGCGUAAAGCGCGCGUAGGCGGUUACUUAAGUUGGAUGUGAAAGCCCUCGGCUUAACCGAGGAAGUGCAUCCAAAACUGAGUAGCUAGAGUACGAAAGAGGGUCGCGGAAUUCCCGGUGUAGCGGUGAAAUGCGCAGAUAUCAGGAGGAACACCGAUGGCGAAGGCAGCUCGCUGGGACGGUAUUGACGCUGAGACGCGAAAGCGUGGGGAGCAAACAGG